CUCUUUUCAAAUUGGGCUUUAUUGUUAUUAUUGCUAUUUCUGAGGUUGUAAACAAAAAUACAUUAGCUGCAUAGAAUAACCAGAAAGACUAAUACUUAAAAAUCAGGAAGGUGAGAGUGACUAGAAAGUGGAAAUAUAAAUAAACUGCAUUCUGUUUUUAAUCUUUGCCUAGGGUUUUUGAGACAAUGAACAAUCUAAAUCGCCACAACACUUCAGAUCACGGGAGAGAUUUAUAAUACACUUAGACGGCAGAGCUGUAGAAUACAGUGGACACAAAAUACCUAAGAACUACACGAACAGUCAGGCUUUUUUCUGAUCUGGCUUUGGCCAAGAAAUAAAUACCCUUGGUGGCGAAAAGCAGCC
rnacentral:lncRNA from 1 species